AUACGGGAUUAUAUUGGUAGGCGCAUGAAACAAUAGUAGUUUCUACUAUGAACCAUGACACGGAACGUAACAAGACAUCGAAGAGCGAAACGGACGUAAUAUGGUAUGAACAUGGUGGAUACGCCGCUGGUACUUCCUAUAUAUAAGUGUUUCUACCAUAUUACCAAACUUCCGUGAAAUCUUGCCAUGAGAAAUUCGGUGUUUCCUUAGACCUUAUCGAAUACAAACUUUGAUCACUCACAAUCUAUUUUUCGGUUGUACCCAAAUGUACUUCAAAAAAAUGCCAUCUUUUCCCAAAGAUCUUCCUCUUAAAUAAAUUUUGGGACGAAAUUUCCUAAAGUAGGGGAGACUGUAACGCCUCGUAUUUCCAUAUUACUAUGCUUUUUGAAAACUCGUGUUCGUUUUAUAUUUUUAGAACCACUGUGGAAAUCAGACCGAAAACGGAUUAAAAACGACAAGCGACACAUUUUUACGCGCUUUUAACGCAACCGACCAACGAACGCAUCAUACAUCGAUUUCCGACACCAUUUACGUUUUUUUUCUGUUUGUUUUUCCUAUAAUAAUAUCCUACAACAUUUCACGAUGUGCGAGUUCGAAAACUGGUCUCGUAGACGCGACCGGGCCGUUUGGAACGCAAGAAACAGGCUAGUGGGCUUUGGGCCUAACUUACAAUAAACCCUAACUAUAAAAGGGUUUAUUCACCGUUCUCUCACAUACACACACCCUUCUGCCUCUCUCUCGAUCUCUCUACCGGAGCCGAUUCUCGACCGGAUCUUCGGCGCCGAUCUCCGGCCACGCACAACCACUUCACCACGACCUGUGUCACUCUCCACUCUCGCUCAUCUCUUAAACAGACGGCUGACCACCAUUCUUGGUGGCGGCGGCGCUAGGAUGGUGGUCGUGGGGUGAUGAUAACACUCUGGGUUCAAUCGAUCAGAAGCUCUGGCAGCAGUAACGAUGGCGGUGGUUCUAUUUCGGGUCGGGUUUGGUUUGGAAGGGUUGAGGAUGGUGGUGGUGUCGACGACAACAAGAGCCGACGCACGGCAGCAGCCGACGUCGGCAGAGGCAGUGGUUCAGUUCGGGUCAUGUUUUGGUUAGUAUUUCAAGUUCCGGUCAGAUUUGUUUUGAUUUGGGUUUGUUUCCGGCAGUGGUGCCGAUGACGCGACGACGAUGGUCUUCGCCGGAGAACUUGCAACAUCAAGGAUGAAGUCGACGUCGUCGGAAUCACCUCGCACCUUCAUUUCGGAUAAUUCCCAUUGUUUGAAGUUUUCCCUAUUUUCCCAUGCGCUCAUCUACAAGGAAUCACAUAUGCAACCAUUGAUUUUGAUGAUGCAAGGAAUCUAGUAGGAUUGCCUAGAAACGCAUUUAAACUUUAAUACUUGUUGUACCGUAUUUUAUUUUCGAACAUGUUGUAUUUUGUUUCUAAACCUUGUAUUAAACCAUUAUAAAUGAAAUGGAAUUUUAGUUCUUUUACA